rnacentral:tRNA from 1 species
CGUCCGCCCGGUGCGGACGCUCCCGCCACCUGUGAGGUGCCGCAGUUCGCCCCGGUGCGGGUGCGGGGCGGGCGG